AUUGAACGCUGGCGGCAUGCUUUACACAUGCAAGUCGAACGGCAGCGCGGGCUUCGUCCUUGCCGCGUGUGGCGGACGGGUGGGUGAGUCAUCCGAACGUGCCCUGCCGUUGGGGCUAGCAUGACUAAGGCCAGCUUUAUCCCACAUCCGACCUGAUUGUGAAAGGGAUGGAUCGAAAGUCCUCGCCCUUCUGGAGCUGCCGAUGUCGGAUUAGCUAGUUGGUUGGGUAAAGGCUUACCAAGGCGACGAUCCAUAGCUGGUCUGAAAGGACGACCAGCCACACUGGGACUGAGACACGGCCCAGACUCCUACGGGAGGCAGCAGUGGGGAAUCUUGGACAAUGGGGGCAACCCUGAUCCAGCAACGCCGCGUGAGUGAAGAAGGCCUUCGGGUUGUAAACCGCUUUUGUUAGGGAAGAAAAUAUGUGGGCUAAUCCGCCGGGGGCAUGACGGUACCGAAAGAAUAAGCACCGGCUAACUACGUG
rnacentral:rRNA from 1 species